AGUGAACGCUGGCGGCAGGCCUAAUACAUGCAAGUCGAACGGCAGCACAGCAGAGCUUGCUCUGUGGGUGGCGAGUGGCGGACGGGUGAGGAAUACAUGGGAAUCUGCCCAGUCGUGGGGGAUAACGUAUGGAAACGUACGCUAAUACCGCAUGCGCCCUAAGGGGGAAAGCCGGGGACCGCAAGGCCUGGCGCGAUUGGAUGAGCCCAUGUUCGAUUAGCUAGUUGGCGGGGUAAAGGCCCACCAAGGCGACGAUCGAUAGCUGGUCUGAGAGGAUGAUCAGCCACACUGGAACUGAGACACGGUCCAGACUCCUACGGGAGGCAGCAGUAGGGAAUAUUGGACAAUGGGGGCAACCCUGAUCCAGCCAUGCCGCGUGAGUGAAGAAGGCCCUCGGGUUGUAAAGCUCUUUUGUCCGGAAAGAAAAGCAAUCGGUUAAUACCCGGUUGUUCUGACGGUACCGGAAGAUAAGCACCGGCUAA
rnacentral:rRNA from 1 species